rnacentral:rRNA from 1 species
GGCGUCGGGACGAACGCUGGCGGCAUGCCUAACACAUGCAAGUCGAACGGGGGUAGCAAUACCCUAGUGGCGAACGGGUGAGUAACACAUAAGCAAUCUGCCCUUCACAGGGGGAUAACAGCGGGAAACUGCUGCUAAUACCGCAUAAGACCACGGUACCGCAUGGUACAGGGGUAAAAACGAAUCAGUGGUGAAGGAUGAGCUUAUGUCCCAUUAGCUAGUUGGUGAGAUAACAGCCCACCAAGGCGACGAUGGGUAGCCGACCUGAGAGGGUGAUCGGCCACACUGGAACUGAGACACGGUCCAGACUCCUACGGGAGGCAGCAGUGGGGAAUAUUGCGCAAUGGGGGAAACCCUGACGCAGCAACGCCCGCGUGAGCGACGAAGGCCUUCGGGUCGUAAAGCUCUGUCAAUAGGGACGAAGUCUAAUAAGUAAAUAGCUUAUUAGGUGACGGUACCAAUAAAGGAAGCCCCGGCUAACUACGUGCCAGCAGCCGC